AGGAAUUGUCAAGUGGUUCAGGGCUUGAAGGCAUCCGGAAUUUGAGACCAAAGCAGUCUUGUUUCUCUGCAGCAGCCGACGCUGCUGAUGCCCGAGCCCCACCAAAUCCACCAACCCACGCCUCCAACCGAUCCAAACUCCGUUGCCUCCACGGCUGCAAAUGCCCGGCGCAAUCCGGCCCCGCUGCCGUUGCCGGAGAUCGCGGUGCCGCCAGUGCAGCCGAAGAUGAUCAUAAAGGGGAUGCUGGGCCGGUACGAGCGGUGGAACCCCGUGCACCCGACGGCGGGGGCCUUCUGGGGCGUCGGGCUGGGGUUCGGCUGCGGCGUCGGGUGGGGCCCGGGGUUUGGGCCCGAGGUCAUCGGCUACGUCGGCGCCGGAUGCGGCGUCGGCUUCAGCGUCGGCAUCACGCUCGCCGGUGUCGGCGUCGGGCUGCCACAGCACGGCAUCAUCAGGAACCACUACCACGGCGGCGGUUUUGCAAGCAAUGUCCCAUUCGAAUCAGCAAGGUUUUACCUCUUGACCAUGCUAAAAGGUAUGGUAUGGGAUGCCAUCAGUUAUGCGAGCAACGUCGCAGCUAUGAGGAAAGAAUCUCGACAGAAGCUUUUAAGAUGUCAGGAGAAUCCUCAAGUUUCAGGAGUUGAUCUGCCCAAGCUGGGGAAAGGAAUGUCCAGCAGCUUUCGAUCAACGAUGGAGUGUAUCAAGGCCUUCACAAAUCAGCAUUGGCCUCCAUAGGCAGCACCCAAGUAAACUGAAGAUUGAUAAACCGAGCUUUGUGUGCAAACCACCCAACCGGGAUCAAAGCCUGGGUGGUACCCCUUUCAGUGGGUGACAAUGGGGUAAUCGGAUGCAGGUGGCUCGUAUGGCGUCCACCACAGGGUUGACGUCCCUUUUAAUGGAAAAUUAAGGACUUGUACUUUAUGAAUAAGAACCCCCAUAGCACAUAUUUCCUUAUCAUAUGUUUUUGGCAUGAGCAAGUUUAAAUUUUUACCCC
rnacentral:rRNA from 1 species